GUUCUAGCCGUUUAUGGAGGAUUUUGGUGGUAACACACUAUUUUGAUCUUGUUUUUUGUGUUAUUUUCUUAAGUUUCCUUGUUGGUGCGGUCGUUAAAUGAGCGAUAAGAAUGCCGAUGAUAAAGCAGCAAAUUUUCCGGUGGUCGACAUCCCUAUUCCUUUCCUCUCCUAUUUUGAUCCAAAGAGCAAUAGCAUGAGCUCCAGCUCUAUUGAGCUAUCAACCUCGUUACCCGUGGCAAUUAUUUUUUCGAGGUACGAUUGGCUGAGGCGAGUAUACCUACAGCGAAGUGAGCUAUUACAAAUGGAAGAGCACUGGUCUUCGAAGGAUGAUAUCUCAUCAAGUUAUACUGAGACAAUGGAAGACAACAUUGAGGGAGUAGAGAGUGUAGAAAGGGCUAUAGACGAGAUUAGGAGGGCGAGUGCUGAGAUGGAGGUGGACACCAAGGCAGUCAUUGAGGUCCUUUGUAACAAUCUUACUAUAGAAUUAGUAAUCCUGUACAUUCUAUUAUUU
rnacentral:misc_RNA from 1 species